AUUGAACGCUGGCGGCAGGCCUAACACAUGCAAGUCGAACGAGUGGCGGACGGGUGAGUAAUGUCUGGGAAACUGCCUGAUGGAGGGGGAUAACUACUGGAAACGGUAGCUAAUACCGCAUACCAUCAGAUGUGCCCAGAUGGGAUUAGCUAGUGGGUGGGGAAACGGCGAACCAGGGCGCAGAUCCCUAGCUGGUCUGAGAGGAUGACCAGCCACACGGGAACUGAUACACGGUCCAGACUCCUACGGGAGGCAGCAGUGGGGAAUAUUGCACAAUGGGCGCAAGCCUGAUGCAGCCAUGCCGCGUGUAUGAAGAAGGCCUUCGGGUUGUAAAGUACUUUCAGCGGGGAGGCGUUACCCGCAGAAGAAGCACCGGCUAACUCCGUGCCAGCAGCCGCGGUAAUUC
rnacentral:rRNA from 1 species